AUGGAUGGGCAGGAUGUUUCUGAUGAUUUAGAUUUUGAAGUAAACCAUGGUUUUGAGCCUGAUGAAUCUGUGGAAAAUGAUGAUCAUCAAACUAAUGAGGAGGAAGGAGCUGAUGACAUUUCUGAUGAAGGCAACAGUGAGCAGACCAAGACGGUGUUUCAGAAUCACCAGGGGAAGAAGACCAUCGAUGUGUACUGGAUAGCAGAU